UUAGUAUUCUUGGAUUGUCGUUUACAUUAUUUAAGAAAGACGCUUUUAUUCCAUGAUGAUCAGAAUACUUCCGAACUAUUGGUGUGUUUUUUACUUUUUGCCAAAUCCAUGAUUGUCGUGUCGUACUUUCCUCUUCGCUACUCUCAUUAUAAUCAUACACCUUACACGCUUUGCGACUGGUAUAAUCACGUCACUAUCAGAGGAUUCGUUGUCACUGUCUUCAUUUAACACUUUUGUAUCUUCCAUUUUGAAGGGGUUUCUUAAAUUUUAAUAAUUGAACUGCUUCGUAACAGUAACGAUAAGAAUUGUGACUAACUGUUAUGAGGUACUGACAGGAACUAACAUUCAGUCACGAUCGUAACGGGCAAAAAACAGUCCGCGAGCUCGGCUUGUUAUGUUUACGUUUGGCCCAAGUAUCUGGUCGCGAUAUUCAUGUUUGGGCCAAAAUCUUCAUCGCGAGUCUGACUCGAUAAAGUACGGGAAGGGGUUAAUAAAAGUUCUGACAGAAAAGAUCAAAGAGUUGCAAGGCCAAUUGUGAUAUAAUAAAAUCUGGAACGCCAAAUAUAAUAGUAAAUACAAAUACAUAAGAACAGCGGACAAAGCGAAAUAUCCGGGAAAGGAAGGAAGGGAAGGCAGCAAGAGGCUAAUGGCAAGGGCAAGAUGCGGAAAUGUGAAAGAGGAAAACAAUUAUUGGUUGGCAGAAGAAAAAAGAAAAUAUAUUUUACGUAAUUUAGAGAUGGGUACGUUGAAACAGUUAUUAAAAGGCAACUAUAGAUUAGAUUUUAGUUUACUAAGAGAAAAGAAUACAGCAGAAAGUAGAGUUAACGAAACAAUGAAAAACUGGUUAAGAGUUUAGGAGAAAAGGCGUAAGAAUAUAGCUACUGAAGUGAUUGCAAGCCAAAGAGAAAUAUGUGAUAAUAGAUAGGUUAAGUAUAGGAUAUAUAGGUUAAGAGAAAUAAAGAUAUAUGUAUAUGUCGGAGACGAAAGGACGCCGGGGCCCCUUUGGAACUUCAGGAUAACCUCCUAACAUUGUAAUCUAGAGUCUACUAUAGCCGUAAUGAAACAAUCGCAGUUAUCCAAGCCGAUGGUAACCGUCCGCGAUUAGUGACGGUGAGCUUUGGCUCGGGGCGACAGCCUGUCGCCCAACGUAGCCGCGGUCAACGGGACGGGCGCUCCGUCUAACAAAGGACAAGUAAUACCUGAGGUUGAGGCACGUACACAGCACAAGUCCCGGCAGCCCGAGGACCCGCUAUAAAACCUGGGUUUUUCGGCAAUUAAGAUGUUUUGCAAACGGACAGGCAGCUUCUGUCCCAAACUGACCAAUCGACAGCGACAUCGAUCCGAGGAUCUUGGGUACUUAGACACCCCACCAGAGUUUAUCUCGGUGGCGUCGUUGGGACGAAGAGGCAUUCCUGACUGAGACCUCAUCGAGGAAGGGAAUAGCUCCUUACGAUCAGUACACGUUUGAGUUAGAGCAAGCAUAUCCAUCCUCCCGUUGACCGUGGAUUCGUUAUCGAACCUAAGACCACUAUCACUAGUGUCGCGGGGGCCUAAUCGCCGCUGUUGACUGUCGAAUCGGUAGUGUUCAUACCCGUUGUAUCAGGCCGUAUCUUCGUUAUAACACGACCCUGGCCAACUCCAAGGGAGGUCUAGCAAACGCCCACAACUCUAUUACUGACGCUUCUCUGACAUAUAUAUGUAAUCUGUAGCUUUGUGGAUAUAGAGGGUGGUUGGUAACUGGUGGUACAAGCGGAAAGGGGGUGAUUCUACGCCAAAAAAGAAGUCGAAAAUAUAGAAUAAAAUUUUUUUCUAAUUUUUUUUUAAUUUUUCCAUCGAGACAACGAUUUACAGUGAGAUCCGUUAAAACGAGACGUGAUAAAGUGCACGCGUACCGAGCGAAAAUUCAAAGUCGAUUUUCUCGAAAACAAAGCCUCAAACGAAAAAUUUUUAUUCUAUAUUUUCGACUUCUUUUUUCGCGUAGAAUCACCCCCUUUCCGCUUGUACCACCAGUUACCAACCACUCUGUAUAAGGGGAUAUAUAUUUGACAUGGGAAUGUGGAUGGUUGUGUUUCGGAUUAUGAUGGAUAUUCUAGGAGCUGUAAGGGGAUGAGUGAAAACUAGAAAUAUGUAAACCAAGUUCUUUUCUAAAGUUGUGAAGCCGAAAAAUAAAUAAGGAUAUAUAAUAAUUAUUAAUUCAUACAUAUAUACAUUUCUAAAUAUAUUUGGUUUUUAAAUAUUUUCAUAUAUCGAUCUUUUGUACUUUACUUUGGGAUAGUUUUACUAUCCCAAUAUAUAUCAACAUAUAUACCCAAUAUAUACAAUACAUAUGUAUUGAAUGUAUAUAGUAUAUGUGAUUUUUGUAUCUCACAGGUAGGCUAUUGUUCAAAGCCGAAAAACUUGUCAGUGUAUGAACUUGGCCAAAUUUAAAUCAAUCCUUUAACAGAAAAUAAAUAAAUAAACAAAUAUAUAUAGCAUUAAUAUUCAAGUAUAUAUUUAUAUAUUUUAUAUACAUAUAUUAUUAUAAAAACCUAACAUUAUUAGGAAAAGGUAUAUGUUAUGCACCAUAAUAUACAAAAUUAAUUUAAAUCUCUUUAUACAAAAUUUAAUUAAAAUUUGUAUUUUUAUAUUUGAAGAAGUUCAAACUAUACUUUUUAAAGAAACUUGUUUACUAUGAAUUCGUAUAUCAUUUUAUAUAUUUAUAAUCAAGAUAAAAAAAUCUUUGGUGAACUUGUAGAACUUUGAGAAAUCAACAUUUUGAGCAAUUGUUCUUUUUACAUAUUACUGUUGGUCUCGCUUAAUUUCCGAGAUAUUCGCAAAAAACUACAGGCAUCGCUACAGAAUAUUUCUGUUCGUAGUUGUGCAUCUGUGACAACAUAUGCGUUAGUAUGAGUUGCCGACUACCGGCUGCUUAUCUUCUGUUUAUAAAAGAGAGUUGGACGAGCGUAAAGACCCCGUGCAUAACGUGCAUAUACGAAGCUGUAAGAAAUGCAGUCUUUUUAUAAGUUAUAAUUCAAUUAAAAGUGAAUAUCAUUAAUAAGUGGGGUCUGAGUUUGGAUUAAACUUUCCAAUAUCGCUGCGAAGCAGAUGGCUGCCAUGAAAUAUAACGAUUAUUCUAUUUCGUAAAAUAGUAUCAAUUAUUCAUUCGUCUGUUAUUUUUGUAAUUAAUUUGUUAUUAUUUCACGCAAGCGUUACUAGACUCGUGGCGGCCGAAUUACGAAAAUUAAUCCAAACCUAAUACGUUGAUGAUAUUCAUUUUUAAGUCAAUUAUAAGAGACAAUUCUUGCAGUUUCGCAUAUAUGUUGUAGAUAUUUGUUUAUAAAUAAAAAAUAAGCUGCCGAUGGCCUACAAUCAACACUAACGCAUACGCAGCCACAGACGCACAACUAUAGACAGAAAUACACUCUAGUGGUACCUGCAGUUUUUUUGCGAAUAUCUUGUAAAAUAAGCGAAAUCGACUCCGUUACACGUGUACGAAAAUGUUGUUCAAACUGUUGAACUUUACAAAAUAUUCAAAAAUUAUAGAAAUCGGAAAGGACGGAAUGGUUCUACAAAUUCACCAAAUCUUUCUUUGAAAAGUAGUUAAAUACAAACUUUCUUGCUUAUUUAUUAUUACUUGCUUGCUUAUUACUUAUUAUUUUAAUUUUCUAAUUAUACAAAAUUAUUUUAACUUUUGUACUAAUAACUUCGAACAAGCACUUUUCUUAUCAAUAGUAAUAUUUCUAAACAAGGAAAAUAUACCAUUUAUUGAAUAAUGCAAAUUUGCUAUUUUCGCACAUUAUUCUUUAUUGCUAAUGGAAUAAAUUUGAUUUUAAUGAGUAAAAUACUUUUGUAGUUAUCUAUAAUUGUGGAAGGUGUCCUGGAUGUUGAACAUGAUAAAGGCAAAAUUAUGAAAUACUUAGUUCUUUAACUCCCAUAAGUGUACCUUAUCCUGCUAAUGCAUGAGAAGUAUGCAAUAACAUCACAGAUACUAAUCCUAUACUUAUAAGCCAAGCGUGGAGUAUAGAGAAUUAACAGGUAAGUAUAUAUAUUAAACAAUUAAAAUCAAAUUACAAUAUCAUAAUGAUGCAAAUAUGUACAGAGUGCAUACAAAAUAAAUGUCAUGACCAUCAUUUGCAAAAAAAAGUUGUUGAAUAAAGCUGCAGCAAAAUUGACUGUGACCUUGAAUAUCAAGGCUAAUUUUUUUUUGGUGCAUCAUAUUCUAUUCAUUAUAAGGACCAAACUUGUUACAGGAACCACAGAUUGGAACUCAACUGUUCCCUUGGAAAAUUCCUUUGGCUUUUCUAAUGACAUUAUUUGUGUUGUUUAUCUUUCUUAGUCAGAUAAGAAGUAAAUAGCGUGAUAUUAAUGAGAAAACAGGAAGUUAUUCCUUAGCAUGUGAGAUAACCCAUCCUAGGUA